rnacentral:ncRNA from 1 species
CAGAUGACUUUGAUGGGGAAGAGUAUACCGGGUAAUCCGUCCAGAGAGCGGGGUAAGGUGGGAGCCCGUCGGUCCAGCCGGUGGAACAUGGCCCCGGAGUUUUUUUGCCCAAAGUCCCCGGCUAUGCCGGCAGGGCCGGUAGGUAAAAACGGGAUAAGCUCCGUUAAAGCGCUUAAGGUAUCGGAGUUUUGCUCCCGUACCUGUUGAGGCCCUAUACCGCAAGGUAAGGGUAAACUAGGGUGGUAACGCGGAAAACCUCCGUCCCUGAC